GAUGAACGCUGGCGGCGUGCCUAAUACAUGCAAGUCGAGCGAACAGACGAGGAGCUUGCUCCUCUGACGUUAGCGGCGGACGGGUGAGUAACACGUGGAUAACCUACCUAUAAGACUGGGAUAACUUCGGGAAACCGGAGCUAAUACCGGAUAAUAUAUUGAACCGCAUGGUUCAAUAGUGAAAGACGGUUUUGCUGUCACUUAUAGAUGGAUCCGCGCCGCAUUAGCUAGUUGGUAAGGUAACGGCUUACCAAGGCAACGAUGCGUAGCCGACCUGAGAGGGUGAUCGGCCACACUGGAACUGAGACACGGUCCAGACUCCUACGGGAGGUAGCAGUAGGGAAUCUUCCGCAAAGGGCGAAAGCCUGACGGAGCAACGCCGCGUGAGUGAUGAAGGUCUUCGGAUCGUAAAACUCUGUUAUCAGGGAAGAACAAAUGUGUAAGUAACUAUGCACGUCUUGACGGUACCUAAUCAGAAAGCCACGGCUAACUACGUG
rnacentral:rRNA from 1 species